AUCCAGAUGAUGAGUCCCAAAUAGGACGAGAUGAGUAUCAUGGAU
rnacentral:hammerhead_ribozyme from 1 species